UACGGGGGGAGCAAGCGUUGUUCGGAUUUACUGGGCGUAAAGGGCGCGUAGGCGGCGUGACAAGUCACUUGUGAAAUCUCCGGGCUUAACUCGGAACGGUCAAGUGAUACUGUCGUGCUAGAGUACAGAAGGGGCAACUGGAAUUCUUGGUGUAGCGGUGAAAUGCGUAGAUAUCAAGAGGAACACCUGCGGCGAAGGCGGGUUGCUGGGCCGACACUGACGCUGAGGCGCGAAAGCCAGGGGAGCGAACGGG
rnacentral:rRNA from 1 species